GAUGAACGCUGGCGGCGUGCUUAACACAUGCAAGUCGAACGAUGAAGCCCAGCUUGCUGGGUGGAUUAGUGGCGAACGGGUGAGUAACACGGGAGUAACCUGCCCUUGACUCUGGGAUAAGCCUGGGAAACUGGGUCUAAUACUGGAUAUGACUUCUCAUCGCAUGGUGGGGGGUGGAAAGAUUUAUUGGUCUUGGAUGGACUCGCGGCCUAUCAGCUUGUUGGUGAGGUAAUGGCUCACGAAGGCGACGACGGGUAGCCGGCCUGGGAGGGUGACCGGCCACACUGCGACUGAGACACGGACCAGACUCCUACGGGGGGCAGCAGUGGGGAAUAUUGCACAAUGGGAGCAAGCGUGAUGAAGCGACGCCGCGUGAGGGAUGACGGCCUUCGGGUUGUAAACCUCUUUCAGUAGGGAAGAAGCGAGAGUGACGGUACCUGCAGAAGAAGCGCCGGCUAACUACGUG
rnacentral:rRNA from 1 species